rnacentral:rRNA from 1 species
AUUGAACGCUGGCGGCAGGCCUAACACAUGCAAGUCGAACGAGUGGCGGACGGGUGAGUAAUGUCUGGGAAACUGCCUGCUGGAGGGGGAUAACUACUGGAAACGGUAGCUAAUACCGCAUACCAUCAGAAGUGCCCAGAUGGGAUUAGCUAGUUGGUGGGGUCACGGCUCACCGAGGCGACGCUCCCUAACUGGUCUGAGCGGAUGACCAGCCACACUGGAAAGGAGACACGGUACAUACUCCUACGGGAGGCAGCAGUGGGGAAUAUUGCACAAUGGGCGCAAGCCUGAUGCAGCCAUGCCGCGUGUCUGAAGAAGGCCUUCGGGUUGUAAAGUACUUUCAGCGGGGAGGCGUUACCCGCAGAAGAAGCACCGGCUAACUCCGUGCCAGCCGCCGCGGUAAUAC